GCAGGUAUAGUUUAUUAUUAAAAUAUUAGUUUUGUAAACUAGGGAUAAUGUUAUAUUACAUUUAUCUGUU
rnacentral:tRNA from 1 species